rnacentral:rRNA from 1 species
AAUGAACGCUGGCGGCGUGCCUAAUACAUGCAAGUCGAGCGAAUGAUGAGGAGCUUGCUCCUCUGAUUUAGCGGCGGACGGGUGAGUAACACGUGGGUAAUCUGCCUGUAAGACGGGGAUAACUCCGGGAAACCGGGGCUAAUACCGGAUAAUAAAAAGAAACGCAUGUUUCUUUUUUGAAAGUCGGUUUCGGCUGACACUUACAGAUGAGCCCGCGGCGCAUUAGCUAGUUGGUGAGGUAACGGCUCACCAAGGCGACGAUGCGUAGCCGACCUAAGAGGGUGAUGGGCCACACUGGGACUGAGACACGGCCCAGACUCCGACGGGAGGCAGCAGUAGGGAAUCUUCGGCAAUGGGCGAAAGCCUGACCGAGCAACGCCGCGUGAGCGAUGAAGGCCUUCGGGUCGUAAAGCUCUGUUGUUAGAGAAGAACAAGUACGAGAGUAACUGCUCGUACCUUGACGGUACCUAACCAGAAAGCCACGGCUAACUACGUGCCAGCCGCCGCCGUAA